GAAGGAAACGCAACAAGCUAAGGUCGGAGGUACACAAACACAAGCCUAGCUUGAAACAUUUCGUAGAGAGAAGCAUGCGGAUCAGGAAGACCACGCUUGCGUUCUUCAUUUGGGCCAUGGCCUUUGGAAUCUUGAUGACUGCCGUCCUUUCACAAGUACCAUGCUGGUGCGGUGUCUGCCCAACCACCACAUGCGACUGCUGCUAGUGGUAGUGUAUUAGUGUUAAUUUCCCUUUUUGUGUUAAUAAGUAAAUUGGUUCCCAAGAUUAUUCAUGGAGGCCGGCCGGUUUACCCAAAUACAUCCAUCAUUCAUCGUGUGUUUGUAAUAUCAGAGUUGUCUUUCUUCCCUGAUGGUGAAAUUACCUUAAAAAACUGUGUGCUUUGUCCAAAUUACAUGCAUGCGGAAUGAUCGGAAAAGUAUAAUAUAUAUGUCGCACGCACCCAACAGGACUCUGUACAUAUAUACCUAGUAUUUGUCCAAGGUGCUCUCCCAUCUGAUAUAAUCAUUUUUUGUGAGUUGUGAUACAUAAAUAUAUAUCCCGGCCGAUCGAUCAAACCUAUGUGCGCAUGAAAGGCUUUCAUGCAUUGGGCCAGAUUAAUCACUCCCAUUCGCAAUAACAACAAUUACGUGCAUCUCCUUGAUCUAUAUAUAUAAACCAAUUGAGAUCGACUAGGAAGGAAACACGCAUGCAACAAGGUCAUCAGAGUUCAGAGGUACACAAAUAAACACAAUCUUAGCUUCAAUUGCGUAACAGUUGGUAAGGAGAGAGAGCGAGUGAGUUGGAAAAGGGAAGCUAAGCAUGCGGAGGAACACCGCGCUUUGCCUUGCUCAUUUGGGCCAUGACCAUGGUGAUGUUCAUGGCUUCUCUCCUUCCAAGAGGUUCAAUCGAUCGCUACUCUCUCGCAUGGUUCUUCUCAUUUCAUUAUUGGAUAUUUUAUGGAUUCGAUCUUAUUCGAACUUAUUAUCAUAUUAUGAUCGAGCAACAAUUAUUGAUCGACAACUAUACCUUUGUUUUUUAAUAAAUAACACAUUUAUUUAUGAUCGUGCUUUUCAUGUCUUAUUUAUGUAAUUACCAUUUAUUUUUAUUGUGAGUUGUUUUCUCACUAAAAGUACUUUAAACAUAAUUUAUAUUUUAUAUAUUUACAUAAAAGUUUUAAUAAGACGUAUAGUUAAAUAUUUAUUCAAAAGUUAAUAGCGUCAUCUAUUUAAAUACAAAGAGAGUAUAUUGAGAAUAUAUAUCUGCUAAUGCAGAGUAUAUUGCUGCCCACAGGGAGUAGUAAUAAUAAUAGUCUUAUCUUUUUGGUUUUUAAUUAAUUUUCAGCUAAUGCACAAUGCCCGUGCAGUUGGUGCCUAUUCGCACCUGAUUGCUAUGACUGCUGCAGAGGAUGACCGCCUUAAUUAAUUCCUUGUGUUAAUAAAGCCAUUUUAUGGAGGUUUAUCCAAAUACUUCAUCCAUCUGAGAAUUAAUAUAUCAAACAUUACGUAUCUAAACACUAGAUGAGACAUCAAACAUUACGUAUCUAAACACUAGAUGAGACUGUCUAGAUACGUGUAGCACUAGGUGACGUACUAUCUAAUUUUAUAUUGUUAUAUUUUAAAAUAGAGGGAGUAUUACAUCCAUCAUUCAUGAGUGUAUAUAUGUUCUGUAAUCUCUAGAGUACCUACGUACGUUGUCUUUCUUAAUAUCCUUGAUGGUGGAAUAUUGAGUUAAUAAAACUGUUAAUUUGCCCAAUUAAACAUGUGGAAUAUAUCUAGAGAUGACAACGGAGAAUUCAUCGUCGGAAAUGCAUCUCCAUCCCCGCCCCCGCAAGACAAAACUUCCCCGUCCCCGUCACCGCGAAACACAACGGGAAAGCUUUGUUACCAUCCCUAUCCCCGCGGUGAUUUCACCCCUGCUUAAAACAAUAUACACAUGUCAAAUUAUAUAUGCAAUACAAUAUAUAUUCGUACUUUA